rnacentral:rRNA from 1 species
UACAGAGGGUGCGAGCGUUGUUCGGAAUUAUUGGGCGUAAAGCGCGCGUAGGCGGCUACUUAAGUCGGAUGUGAAAGCCCUUGGCUCAACUGAGGAAGUGCACCCGAAACUGAGUAGCUGGAGUACGAAAGAGGGUCGCGGAAUUCCCGGUGUAGAGGUGAAAUUCGUAGAUAUCGGGAGGAACACCGGUGGCGAAGGCGGCGACCUGGGUCGAGACUGACGCUGAGGCGCGAAAGCGUGGGGAGCAAACAGG